UACGUAGGGUGCAAGCGUUGUCCGGAAUUAUUGGGCGUAAAGAGCUCGUAGGCGGUUUGUCACGUCGGAUGUGAAAACGCCGUGCUUAACACGGCGCUUGCUUUCGAUACGGGCAGACUAGAGGUAUGCAGGGGAGAACGGAAUUCCUGGUGUAGCGGUGAAAUGCGCAGAUAUCAGGAGGAACAUCAGUGGCGAAGGCGGCUCACUGGCCCGGAACUGACGCUGAGGUGCGAAAGCGUGGGGAGCAAACAGG
rnacentral:rRNA from 1 species